rfam:Taeniopygia guttata chromosome 2, whole genome shotgun sequence.
CUUAAAUUUGCUCAGUUGGGUAGAGCAUGGAGCUGAUAGCACCAAGGUUGUUGGUUCAAUCCCUAUAUGUAACU